GCGCGAAGCGCCGCCGGUGAAUCAUGCUCAGGCCUUAGCUUUGUAGGUAGUGGGUGAAUGCCGCUCUGCUCCGCUCCGGCGGAUAACCGUAGUUGUUGUGCGCUUCGUCGAGAUUUCCCUCUUUCGUCGACUCUCACCUAUAGCAACAACUCAAGGCAACAACGCGUGGCUCCACAUCUCCCCGUGCUUCUCGAUUCUCGAAUCACGGACGGACGGUUGUUGGUUGGGUUCGAUGGAAAAUAAUGUUCAUGGUUGCAUGCUGCUGCUGCUGGGGGAUUGGCCGAGUGCAUGCUGUUGACUCCAACUGGUUCCAGUCGUAUUCCGGCAUUUCUGACGGUCGGUCCGUAUUUGUUCGUUUCUCGCGUCUUGUGGAUCCGUAUACGAAAGUCGUCGGGUUGAGUUGUUUUGAAAGUCGUGCGUGCGUGCGAGCGUUGUGUUUUGGGGAUCCGCUUGAGGACUCGUUGAGCAGUUUCCCCGAAAUAUUCCACCGGAUUCGAAAAGUUGACGUCCGGCUUAGGUGGGGGUCGUCCUGUGGAAAAGUCAACUCGGAGCUCCCACUUACGACGAAGGAUUUGGUCCGGAAGCUCGUGGGACGUGACGUUCAACGGUGACGACGUGCUGCAGCUCCAUGCUGAGUGUAGUGAGUUGUUAAUAAAUAAUUGCAGCCGAGAAAAAGGAAACUUUCAGCAACGCGAAAAGUGACUGUGUGAAGGAGAUCCGGUCAGGUCCGGUCUGAUAGCAGUAGAAGCAGUCCGGUUCGACUUGUUUUUCGCCACGUCCGUCCAUCGCGCCGUAGUGUGGACGACGGGCUGAUAACGACGGAAAAGAGCUGUUGCCAUUAAAAAAAAGUUUCGACUCCGAGCUCGGCGACUGUCGUUAGGGGGCUAGGGGACACUAACCAAGUGGCGGUUGGCGAGAUCUGGAAGUCACGUUCUACCAAUAACCGACGACCUUCUCGCGUGAGUCGGUGUCCACGUGCGACGUGCCACUUUCUGUGAUUAUCGUGACGGUCCAGAGGUGUUAUGCAGUGAAGUUGAGCGCGAAGAAUAAAGUAGCAAUCAAAGAAUUAAGAAAAAUAAGUCAGCCUGGUGAUUUUGUUGUGGGUUGAGCUGUCUGGGUCAUUGCAACACCCGACUGAUUACAAAACGGCCUGCAUCGGUGUUGUAUUUUUUGGCAUGUUCGAGCCAGUGGAAAUUUGCGGCCUUCGCGCCUUCGUGAUUCGAUUUGGCUGAUUUUUCUCAAAUUGUUUCGAGAGUGAUCAAAAUAGAAGAAGCAGAAAAUCCGCAAGAAAGCAGUUUUCUCGCCUCGAGGGGCAAAAGUGGUGCACCCGCCGCGCCGCGCUCCGCCAAAUUGAAAGCGCAGUGUAAUUGUUGUUGCCGUUCGCAGGCUGAAGUUGCCCGCCGCCGCCCGUGUUCAGUGAAUUAUUCUCAAUUUUCGAUUCCACCCGUUGUUGUUUGGCUGCAAUUCGAGAGCCCAAAUACGAGCGCGGACUGAGCAAUAGGGUACCCGACCUACCUAUACCUACGUUGUUGUUGUUGGUUGGGAGUGUAGAAGAUAAUCCGCAAAAAAAAGAAGGCGCAAAGUGUCAGCCACGGAGAAGUCGUUCGAACACACUCUCGGCCGGGCCAAGUCAAGUUUCGAAAAACCGGUUUCGACAGAGUCAGUCAGGCAGCUUUCAGGUUCAGAAAUCCCGUGCGGGAGUAGUGUGGAGUGAUUGCAGUGUGCGAUUGUGUAUGUGUUUGCAUUAUUGAGGAGUACAGCGGAAAGCGACAACGUUGACGUCGUCGUCGUCGUCGUCAUCUGAUAAAGCGCAGAACAAGUAAGAAGCCGGUAGACUGCCGCUUGAACCGGCUUGAAUCUUGCUGUAAGGUUGCAUUUUUGCCAGUCGGUUGGACACUGCAUGCCAUCUGGAGCCCUCUAGGGGGAGUGAUGACUUCGUGAGUGCGAGAAGCAACGAAUCUUAAAGAUUUAACUAGGAGUGAUAGCGGAACGCAUUUCCAGAAGAAGCAACCUUUCAGCAGCAUUAAGAAGCCUUUCUCAAAGCCCGGGCAAGGAUAAUCCCCGUGUGCUUUUGGGUUGCCUAUUUGCAGGUGUAAUCGGGCAGAAAUCGCGGCUGGGCAUCACCGGACAGAAGCAGCCGCGGACCUCCAUCGCCGGUAAUUACGAUGAUUGGGAUCGAUUACCCAGCGAAAGCUUGAGAGAUGAUGAUGGUAUGUACUGGGACUGACAUCUAAUGAUCUCCGUAAGUAACUGAAAAAAACUCGGCCACACGUGAUGAAUGUGAAAAAUAAGUUAUAGAUGUUGAAAUAUGUUCAUAAAAAAAAUGAAAGAAAUACUUUCAUCAGGCUUACACUAAACCAUCUUCCAAGCUCACUCAUAAUACUGAAAGACGACGCAACCAAACCAUCAGCCAUAGCCACUGGGAAUAUAUUUGGCACUACUAACUCCAAUGUUGCAAGUUACUCGAAAUCAAGAUAAGAAAGUGUAUAGUAUUUAUGUUUGUUUAGCAGAAUAAUUGCAUUGAAAUCGAACUACGAUUUUUUUUGAAAACGAUUUGUUUGACUACUGUAAAAUCUUCGUCAAUUCCUUCGGUAAUGCAUUAGGAUUUUUGGCAAUAUAUUCGAGAAUGUAUUGGGCUAUCCCUGUGAAAAUUCUUUGAAUUAUUCCUCUGGGAAUUCCUUCCAAAAUUUCUGUACGAAUUUUCAUUUAUUUUUGUGAAUUUCGAUAGUAAUUCGGUUGAAUUUUGAACAUCAUUUAUUAUUAUUAUUAUUAUUAUUCUUAUUUUGAAAGUUUUUCGUCAGUUUCUUUGGGAUU